ACUCCUACGGGAGGCAGCAGUGGGGAAUAUUGGGACAAUGGGGGAAACCCGUAGCAUCCAGCCAUGCCGCGUGUGUGAAGAAGGCCUUCGGGUUGUAAAGCACUUUCAGUGGGGAGGAAAGGUUGAUGGUUAAUACCUAUCAGCUGUGACGUUACCCACAGAAGAAGCACCGGCUAACUCCGUGCCAGCAGCCGCGGUAAUACGGAGGGUGCAAGCGUUAAUCGGAAUUACUGGGCGUAAAGCGUGCGCAGGCGGUCUGUUAAGCGAGA
rnacentral:rRNA from 1 species